ACGAGCAAUACCGAGUUUCCUUUUUAUCGAUCAAUCAAGAACCUAGACUCUAUAUGGCACACAUACGAUCAAUCAUCAACUCAUUACCAUAACUUACGAGACGUGUGAAUCUAUCUCUUAUAUUAAAGCAAAAUAAUGUUGGCUUUUUGACCUUUGAUGUGGCAAUGCUCUUUGGCCAGAGAAUUGUUUUAUUGGGCGGCAAAAUGUUUUUCCUCAAUUCUCUUUCAUUUGUAAACCGCCUAUUAUGUUCUUCUUCAAUAUGGAAACCCCCAAUCAAUUCUCAAUCAGUUGAAUUCUUCUGUAAAUUUAUGAAUACCUUUCUAUGAUUCGGCGCUCAUUUCCUUCUUCUUCUUUGAGAAACCCUAAAUCUACAUGUGUUACUUCUUCUACGUCGAGUGCUGCAAUUGAUCGGUAUGUAUUCUUUCUAAAACCCUUGCCGUGUUCCUUCUUCUUGAUUCUUCUACGAUUCGGGUGCUACAAUCGAUCGGUAUGUAUUAUAGGUUUUAAUUUUAGUAUUUCGAUUGCUUUUUCUGAUGUUAAUUUGUUUAUUCUCAUAAAAGCUACCUCCCAUCUUUAUCAUUGUUGUUCCAUAUCUGAUGCAGGUUAGUAAUCUUUUGAAUUUAAGUUUUGUUUUGUUGUUUGAUUUUUUUGAUAAUAAUCAAACUGUGGCCGUAUUCGUCUUUAGAUCUGAUGAUUACGAUUCAGGUGCUACAAUCAUGUUGUUGCUGUUUGUUUUUUAAUCUCAUGUUUAUGCUUGAUUUGGACCUUGAUAAACUCGCGUUGACAUGGCAAAUUAGGGUUUACAAGGUGUGAAUUCAUAGUGGGGAUCUUAGCUUUUGUGUUAGUGCAAGAAGGUUUCUAUGGCAUCGAGGCUUAAUCAUGAUAACGUCGUUAAGAUGCUAGGAUAUUGUGCAGAUGGUGGUUCGAGAUUACUUGCUUAUAAGUUGAUGGAUCAUUAUUAGGAAGAUGAGAUGAAGAAGAUAAUUGAAGAUGAGACGAAGAAGAUGACUGUGAUGAAAACGGUAGUCAUGCUCCAACCCUAAUCUAUCUUUGACAUACUAGAGAAAGGUCAUUGUGGUUCCAUAAUUUUGAUUUUAGCUUUUAAACUUAUAAGUGGUAGUUAACUAAAGACCCUUAAAUUAGACUUUUUCAUGUGGUUUUUUCAUGUCAUAUGAGCUACCUGAGUACAUGUAUUAUCCGCAUGAUUGAUUUUACGAUUACACGAUGUCGCUGAAUGAAUACAGAUGCUGAAAACCCUUAAUGCCGACGAGUAUUUUUCACAGGUUUGGGGAUUUCCAUUUUUAUGCCGAUUUUCUUUAUUGCGUCUAUUUGAUUGAUGUUUUGUUGCAAUUCAUUGAUUAGGGUUUGUGUUUGAUUGCUGUUCAUUGCUUAUAGAGGCUUUUUAUAAGUCAGGUUUGUGUGUUUAUUGUACUUCACAUGUUUGAAGGUUUACUGCCUCACAAAAACUGAGUUGAAGGUUUGUUUUCUUAAGUCUGAUGUCACAAAAACAUGUUUGAAGGUUUUCUUAAGUUUGAUGUCACAAAAACUGGUUUUAUUUGGUGCUGACCCAUUCAUAGUAAAUGGCAAAACUACCAACUAUAGUUCCUUUUUGUUUUUUAAUGUUAGGAUAAUAAAGGUGGCUUAAUUGAUCUUAGAGGUUAUUAUUACUGAUUACAAAUACAAAAGUAGUCCCACCAAACUUAUCUCUUUGUUACUUUUUUUUCUCAGUUACUUCAGUAGAUAUUAAGCAAAUCGUGCAAGUUGACAAAAAACCAUGAAAUUUUUGCUUACUACAUCAGCUCAAAUUGCACCUAAUGAGAAUCACUGGCUUGAUGAUGGUGCAGUUCUCAUGGUACUUUGGAUAUGAUUUGUAUUUGUGUUUGUUUGUAGUAAUUCUAUUUGGUUUUGGUAUAAAUUAUUCUGAAUUUUUGCAUGAUGAUAGUUUAAAAGCUGCAUAUGAGUAUGGGUUUGAAUGCCACUUUGAUUGGUGAUAGUAUAAUUUAUUUGUGGUUAUGUAUGCUGAUUGGGACUGCCUAAUUAUUGGUUUUAAUGAGGCUACUUAGCUGUUUUGGAGUGUCAUUGCUUUUGGAUGAUUUUUAUAAGUCAGGUUUGUGUGUUUAUUGUACUUCACAUGCUUGAAGGUUUACUGCCUCGCAAAAACUAAUUUGAAGGUUUGUUUUCUAAUAUCUGAUGUCAUUUACUUUGUUAAUUGGUAAGAACAUCUGCAAUUAAGAUUUUGUAUGAGCAUAAGUAGACUUCAAAAUGCUUCAAUGUUUAAACCAUCUUUGUUGCUCAUUGUUUAUUGGCCAUAUUGUUGUAUGAUCUCUGUUUAGGAUUUGUUGGCAGAUAUAUGUGGUGCAGGUUACAUAUUUGAGAGAAAGGAAGUUCAAGGCUGGGCUGAUCUAUUGGCAUGAAGUUUGGUCAAAGCUUCAAUGGUGUUGUUAUAUGCGAACUUGAUAUUUAUUAUAACAUCAAUUGUUUCAUCAUGAUCGUGCAGCAGAAACUGUCAAUAAGAGGCAAAGAAUUUAUGUCAAUUCCAAGCACCAGAUUUGAUUAUACACUCAACCAUUUUUUUAGUUGGUCAAGAUUUGAUGGGUUGUGCUCAAAUGGAUUCGGGAAGCAAAUGGGACAAAUCGUCUAAGCUUUUUAGAUAUCCUCUCAGAUCGCGUCCAAGCCUAAGAACGAUAAGCUACCCACUUUACCACCGUCAAUUGCAUUCAGGUUUCUCGUGACCGGCAUCUGUCGGUCUUCAUUACUUACAUUCAUCGCUGAAAACACCCAGCCCCAUUGUGCCUCUUGUGUGUGACGCGUGACUUAUCUAGAUGAUUAGUUUUAUGUGGCGCUUAUUUGUCUUGGGUAGUCUAUUUGUGUUCUGAUGGCCGCCUACGAUGGUUUUGGGCGCUUCUUCUGUGGUUUUCUUUGUUCAGAGUUAGGGUUCUUUUUUGGGUUUUUGUUAACAGAGUGGCGGACUACGGUUUUGUUUGGCAGUCUAUCAACCAUUGUUUCAUCAUGAUCGUGCAGCAGCAACUGUCAAUAAUAGGCAAAGAUUGGUCGAGAUUUGAUGGGUUGUGCUCAAAUGGAUUCGGGUAAAACAAUAUCAUUUUGCUUCCGGAAGCAAAGGGGGCAAAUCGUCUUAGGUUUUUAGAUAUCCUCUCAGAUCGUGUCCAAACCUACGAACAACAAGCUACCCGCUUUACCACCGUCAAUUGCAAUCAGGUUUCUCGUGACCGGCAUCUGUCGGUCUUCAAUACUUACAUUCACCGUUGAAAACACCCAGCCCCAUUGUGCCUCUUGUGUGUGACGCGUGGCUUAUCUUGAUGUUUAGUUUUAUGUGGCGCUUAUUUUUCUUUAGUAGUCUAUUCGUGUUCCGAUGGCCGCCUACGAUGGUUUUGGGCACUUCUUCUGCGGUUUUCUUUGUUCAGGUGUUUUGUUUAAGGAACAGCCGGAGGUGGUGGAGGGAGGAUGAGAUGAAGGAGACGAAGAAGUUGGCGGGAGACAGAGAAUUUGGCGAGAGAGUUGAAUAACAAAAUUGGUCAAAGGGUUGUGUAUCAACUAAAAUCAGACCUGAAACCGUAAAACAAUGGUGUAGUUGUUUACAUGUGUGAUUUGGUGUAUAUGUGUUUGUAGUAAUUCUAUUCAGUUUUGGACAUGAAAUUAUGUUGUGUUUGAUAAAGCUGAUCCAUCAAUAUAACUCCGUUUACUCGAGUCA